rnacentral:rRNA from 1 species
CGAACGCUGGCGGCGUGCCUAAUACAUGCAAGUAGAACGCUGAAGAGAGGAGCUUGCUCUUCUUGGAUGAGUUGCGAACGGGUGAGUAACGCGUAGGUAACCUGCCUUGUAGCGGGGGAUAACUAUUGGAAACGAUAGCUAAUACCGCAUAACAAUGGAUGACACAUGUCAUUUAUUUGAAAGGGGCAAUUGCUCCACUACAAGAUGGACCUGCGUUGUAUUAGCUAGUAGGUGAGGUAACGGCUCACCUAGGCGACGAUACAUAGCCGACCUGAGAGGGUGAUCGGCCACACUGGGACUGAGACACGGCCCAGACUCCUACGGGAGGCAGCAGUAGGGAAUCUUCGGCAAUGGGGGCAACCCUGACCGAGCAACGCCGCGUGAGUGAAGAAGGUUUUCGGAUCGUAAAGCUCUGUUGUAAGUCAAGAACGAGUGUGAGAGUGGAAAGUUCACACUGUGACGGUAGCUUACCAGAAAGGGACGGCUAACUACGUG